rnacentral:rRNA from 2 species
UACGGAGGAUCCGAGCGUUAUCCGGAUUUAUUGGGUUUAAAGGGAGCGUAGGUGGAUUGUUAAGUCAGUUGUGAAAGUUUGCGGCUCAACCGUAAAAUUGCAGUUGAAACUGGCAGUCUUGAGUACAGUAGAGGUGGGCGGAAUUCGUGGUGUAGCGGUGAAAUGCUUAGAUAUCACGAAGAACUCCGAUUGCGAAGGCAGCUCACUGGACUGCAACUGACACUGAGGCUCGAAAGUGUGGGUAUCAAACAGG